rnacentral:hammerhead_ribozyme from 1 species
AUCCAGAUGACGAGUCCCAAAUAGGACAAGUGAAAUGCGCAUCCUGGAU